GACGGUUUGGCCGAGUGUCUAAGGCGCCAGAUUUAGGCUCUGGUCCGAAAGGGCGUGGGUUCAAAUCCCACAGAUGUUU
rfam:Ipomoea nil DNA, scaffold: scaffold3392, cultivar: Tokyo-kokei standard.